rnacentral:lncRNA from 1 species
CCCCCGUUCCCCCCCCCCAGGCUGUUCGAGCACGUGGACGAGGCGCUGCUUUCCCGCUCGCCGUUCCCGGAGCUGCGGGCGCUGCUGGACAACUACGAGGCGCCGUGCGGGGUCGCGGAGGCGGUGACGGCGGAGGAGGAGCGCGAGGAGGAGCGGUUCCUCGACGCCGUGCUCGGCACCGACGUCAUGGGAGCGCUCCUCGACAGCGGGCUGUGGCGUUCCCGCAGCGCGCUCCGGGAGGCGCUGAAGCUGAUGUGGUUCGGCCGCUACUCGCGCUCCGGCGGCGCCGCGCUCGACUCGUCCGGAUUCGAGCACGUGUUCGUCGGUAACGAGACCGGGACCGGGACGGGGGCACAUGGGGACAUGGGGACAUGGGGACAGAGGGGGACGUGGGGACAUGAGGGGAUAUGGACACACAUGGGGAUGGGUGGGACAUGGAGACAUGAGGACACGGGGACACAUGGGGACAGCUGGGGACACGAGGACAUCUGGACACAUGGGGACACGUGGGGACAAAUGGGGACAUGGGGACACGUGGGGAGAUAUGGGGACACAUGGGGACAUGUGGGAACAUCUGAAGACAUGGGGACACAUGGGGGUGUGGGGAUGUGGGGACACAUGGGGACAUGGAGACAUGAGGACAUGAGGACACGGGGACACAUGGGGCCACGAGGACAUCUGAACAUGUGGGGGCACAUGGGGACAUGGGGACACAUGGGAGCGUGGGGAUGUGGGGACCCAUGGGGACAUGGGGACACGUGGGGGCGUAUGGGGACAUCUGAAGACAUGGGGACACUUGGGGAUGUAUGGGGAUAUAUGGGGACAUGGGGAUGUAGGGACAUGUGGGACACGAGGUCAUGGGGACAUGUGGGGAAAAAAGGGACGUGUGGGGAUGUGGGGACACAUGGGGACAUGGACACGUAUGGGGACACAUGGGGAUGUGUGGGGACGUGGGGAUGGAUGGGGACAUGACAGCAUGAGGACAUGGGGACACGUGGGGACACAGGGGGACAUGGGGACACGUGGGGACACAGGGGGACAUGGGGAC